GAUGAAGAACGCAGCGAAAUGCGAUAAGUAAUGUGAAUUGCAGAAUUCAGUGAAUCAUCGAAUCUUUGAACGCACCUUGCACCCUUUGGCAUUCCGAAGGGUAUGCUCGUUUGAGUGUCAUUGUACUCUCACACUCUCCGAUCCUAUGGAUUCGGGGAGCGGUGGACUUGGGUGUUGCUGCCUUUCCUUGUGGCUCACCUCAAAUGUGUCAGUGCACCUCUUGGUUGGACAUAGUACGGCGUGAUAAGUGUCUUCGCCGGCACCUCGCAAGAGGGUGGCCGAUCGGGAGCUCUGUGCUUUCAAACCGUCUUCGGACAAUUUCUGACAACUUGGCCUCAAAUCGAGUAGGACUACCCGCUGAACUUAAGCAUAUCAAUAAGCGGAGGA
rnacentral:misc_RNA from 1 species